rnacentral:rRNA from 1 species
UACGGAGGGUGCAACCGUUGCUCGGAAUCAUUGGGCGUAAAGCGCACGUAGGCGGACCGCUAAGUCGGAUGUGAAAGCCCUCGGCUUAACCGAGGAAGUGCACUCGAAACUGACGGUCUUGAGUAUGGAAGAGGGUCGCGGAAUUCCCGGUGUAGAGGUGAAAUUCGCAGAUAUCAGGAGGAACACCGGUGGCGAAGGCGGAUCUCUGGGCCUUACCUGACGCUGAGGCGCGAAAGCUAGGGGAGCGAACAGG